UCCCAUGUGGCUCAGUUGGUAGAGCAUGGUGUUUGCAAUGCCAGGGUUGUGGGUUCAAUUCUCACGGGGGAC
rfam:Salmo salar isolate Sally breed double haploid chromosome ssa19, whole genome shotgun sequence.